GCCUGGAUAGCUCAGGGGUAGAGCGUUUCCUUUACACGGAAAGGGUCCGCGGUUCGAAACCGUGUCCAGGUACCA
rnacentral:tRNA from 1 species